GCGUCGGUAGAGCAACGGGUUAGAGCACGUAGCCUUAAAUAGGGUGAAAUGCGGGUUCGAGUCCCAGCUGACGCA